CCACGCAAAUUUCUCUUACAUUUUAUCAUAUAUUUCUCCACAUGAGAAUAUUCAGAGGGCAAAUAUUUUUCCCUCUAAAAAUAUAGAAAGAUUUCUAUCAAAUUAUACUAUCCUUUUGACUCUCCUUGCUACAGUUUUUGAGUUAUGAGUCAUUAAUUUUGUGUAUGUCAAAGCAAAAACAAUACCUUCACUGAGGUGAAGCCUCAGGGCUUAAAGGGUUCAAACUGUCUAUAAUCAGAGUAAAUUGGUAAUAGGUGAGGGUAUCAGGUUUGACUCAUCAGAAAGCUAUACAUCAAUUCUGUGCAGUGAUGCCUUGGAUUCUGUCAGAUAGUCAGAGACAAUGGAAAUGUGUGAUGUGGUCAGAUGAGUCCAGUGGGAAAAACAGAUGAGUUCUCAGUCCCAAAGACCAAUGAGCAAUCCAGAAUUUUACCAGUGAUAGAUGCAAAAGCAAACAUUUGUUAUUGGAUGUCAUUGGUAUUGUACAGAGACAUAUACUGCCAUCAAGAUGACAUCUUUCAAGAGAAGUCUAUGGUUAUUAGAAGAAGAAAACGCCAGCUCUCAUUCUGUCCUUCUCUCAUUCAUGUGCUACAACAGCAUGGUUUCGUAGAGACAGAGUGAAUGUGCUAGAUCAGUCCAGAUCUGUCUCCUAUAUUGAACACGUAUGACCCAUCAUGAAAAGGACAUCCAGGCAAUGAUGACCACAGACUAGGCAGCUGAAGUCUUGUAAAACAAACUAUUAGUAUCUUCGAUUUACAAACAAUUAAACAUUGUAAUUUAAAAGAGAGUUGCUGGGACACAGUGUUAAACAUGUCUCUGUCCCAGUUAUCUUAUAUUUACAGAUUACCAAUUAUUUGGUCAGUGAAAACAUUGAAAAUCUUUUCUUUGCACUUUUGCCAUUCAAAUAAACAAUAUAAUUACUAUUUUAUUAUAAGAUCUUGAUUUUAUUGCAUUUAAAAAAAUAUUUUUCUGAUUUGGGGUUGUAUUCAAUCCUAUGUUGAUGUUUUAUGUCUUAUUGAUGUCUAGAAAAGUUCAUGUAGCCUAAUGAUAAAUAUAAAAUUCAAAGAUUUCUAUGUACUGUAAUUAUAUAAAACUAUACUGUCAGCGCACCAUAGUUAUGCAAAUGAAGUAGAUCAUCGCGUUUGUUUCAAUUCAUAAGGAUUAAAACUUCUCGAAGCAUUUUUGGGUUAAAAUCAUACUGUAUAAAAACAGGUUAAAAUCAAUCCCAUGGCGCCAUCUAGUGGACAACAUUAAUAUCACAGCCUGAGCGUCCCAAAUAUUAUAAAUUAAUAAACCUAAGCAUGUUUGCCUAGAACGACUUUGUUCUUGACGCAAUUUAAUGUUAAAGAUUGAAUGUCUAAUGAAUAUCUAAUAUAAAUACAACUUUAUUUCUGUUAAAAUUACACUCUUCUAUGUCAAGAUCACAAGGAAACAAGAAAGAAAUGUAAUUCAAGCAGUCGCCGUAGCGAGUUUUUUUUUUUUUUUUUUUUUGCCACACCUCAGCAUGACAUCAGAGCAAUUUUCAAACCUUAACCGGCGUGGAUCUCCCGGCGAUCGGUUCUGCGCAUAUUUUACUAAUCUCAAACAAGCAUAAAUUAACGUUAACUAGUGAUUUGAACCAGAUAAUUUAAUCAAAAUGUCCGAAAGAACCAGUUAACGGAAAAUAAUCGGAUUUCACCGUUGCCUUGUUUACAGGUAACGUUAACGUUAAUAAUGUUGUAAAUAGCGUUCAGUUAUAUACACAGAUCGAUGGUGUAGCUUCAUAAGACCUCGAGUCGAUAUAUUGUUAGGAGAAAUAUGGAAAAAAAAGUCACCUACAUCUUGGAUGGCUUGAGGGUCCCACUGUGUGAUGCUCCAUGUGACCGUGGUGACUCCGUGUCUGGGCUUCUUUCUUCUGGAUUCCUCAGGAACAGAUGUCCACAUGUAUUUGAGGAGCGAACCUUCUGCAGGUUGUGGAGAAGCUCUCCGUGAU